AAUAAUCCUAUAAACACUAAGCUCCCUUGUAUUCUUUAUACAAUACAUUAUAUCAAAACAUGCUCUAUCUACUGGACCGAUCAAUCUUUUACUUCGUAAUUACAGUAGUAUAAUGUGUGUGUGUUCUCAUUAAUUAUAAUAUAAUGUG